GAUGAACGCUGGCGGCGUGCCUAACACAUGCAAGUCGAGCGAGAUUAAGUGGAGUGAGGACUUCGGUCUAAGUGAAGCUUAUGAAAGCGGCGGACGGGUGAGUAACGCGUGGGCAACCUGCCCCAUACAAAGGGAUAGCCACUGGAAACGGUGAUUAAUACCUUAUAAGUCGGUAGCAUCGCAUGAUGUAGUCGACAAAGAUUUAUCGGUAUGGGAUGGGCCCGCGUCUGAUUAGCUAGUUGGUGAGGUAACGGCUCACCAAGGCGACGAUCAGUAGCCGACCUGAGAGGGUGAUCGGCCACACUGGAACUGAGACACGGUCCAGACUCCUACGGGAGGCAGCAGUGGGGAAUAUUGCACAAUGGGCGCAAGCCUGAUGCAGCAACGCCGCGUGAGUGAUGAAGGCCUUCGGGUCGUAAAACUCUGUC
rnacentral:rRNA from 1 species